rnacentral:lncRNA from 1 species
AGAAAAAGUGUGAAUUUUCAAGGAAAUUAAGUGAAAAAUGUGAGAUUUUUUCUAUUAAGCUUGAGUUUUCUUAUUCCCAAGCAUUUCUCUUUAUUUUCCAUGAUUAAAUUACAUGUUUUCAUGAUGAAUUCAAUUCUGAAAAAAUGGGUUAGGAGGGAGAAACUUGUUAGAUUAAUUUGAUUUUAAGUUAUGUUAGUGUUUUAAGUUAGUUUAGCAUAUUUAGAAAUAAAACAACAAGAAAAGAACUUAUUUUCUCCCACAAUCAUUAAUGGCCGAAUUUACCAUGUGUUGAGUGAGGAUAAAUUUGAUUUUCAUUCUAGGAUAAUUGGUUAAGAAAUGAUGAAUUAUGAGCCUAGAAAAAUAAUGGGAAUUUUCGGAGCAAAAAUUUGAUUUUUUACCCACUAGGGGUUUUCGUAAUUUACUACCAAGACUGAUAAAUUGAAUCUCAUUCACAGUCAUUGAGGUAUUGUGGAUAUAAUUGGAUAAUUGAAAUUGAAAUGGAUGGAAUUGGAGUUGAAUUGGGGAUUUUAGGAAUUUACACCGUGUAUAGGCGAGUUAGGUCAGACAUCGCAAUUAAGCGAUUGUCUAGACAUUUCAAAUCCUAUCUAGUGCAUACGCAUGGAUAAGAGCCUGAAAUAAUUUAUGAUAAAUUGACACAAUUUAUUGAAUUUUGUGUCAUGGAUUAUGGAUAGGUGGUGAGUCAAUUAUUUCGGGUAAGAGACUGCACCCGAGGGCGGAAGAUAGGAGUAUUUAUACUCCUAAUACUGUGAGUAAACUUAUUCUCGUCUUAAUUAUCUAGAGUAGUUUUAUACAACUGUGUGAUUUUAUGGAAAAUGGGUUUAAAUGGUAAAUUGCUAUGUUUUAGGAGAAAUUGUGAUUUUAUAAAUUUUCUGAAAAAUCGAAUACUGGUUUUGAAAAUAGAGUAAUUGGAGACUGCCUACUUGUGUUGUAAAUUUAUGGUUUUAAAUUGAAUGGCUUAUGACAAUAUAUGAGCAUGAAUGGCUAAACUGAUUUUGGUGUCAGAAUUAUUUGUAUUGUGUAUUCAGCCUUGAGAGGCUAGAUUGCAAUAGAUUUUCAUGCCAUGCUAGAAUGAAUUUUAUUGAAUUGGUGGAGUAUAUAUUAAUUAUUUACUGUAGAGGAGGUUCCUUGGACCAGCCUAUUAGAAGGGCACAGUAAACUCCAUUAUAUUAUUACCUCGAACGGAGAGACGCGUAGGGUAUCUCCUAGGGUAAAGCUUAGGGUUCACUUCACGCCAAACCACCACGUGAAGGGGAACUCAGCCAACGCCAAGGAACAGCUGUAUUUUUCUCAAACUAAAAAUAUAUUUUAAGUGUAUACAAAAUUUUAACAGCCUUGGCGGACUCGGUUGGAUGUCCUGCGCAAGGUAUCACCGAGUAUGAGUUUUGGCACGAGCCAAAGUUUUAAGAAAUUCAUAAGCCAAGUUGAUUACUCGAUUUAUAUGGAUUGAUUUUAUUUGGUUGAAAUGAACUGAAGGGUAAUGAAAUUACAGUAUGAUGACUUAUUUUAAUUGUCUCCAUUUACUCAGUUUUAGAUACUUUAGAUGGUAUCUGUUUACUCACUAGGAUUAUAAAAUCUCACCCCUUCUUCCUAUACAUUUUUCAGGCUUAGGACAGUUUGUAGAUAGUCGAGUAGGACGAGAACUAAGCUCGGAACUGCAUUAUAGAAAGUAAGAGUUCACAGUCUUACAUCCUCUUGGUCAAUUGGAGCCCACGUGUCAUUGCAGAUCAAAACUUAUAUUUUGGUUAUCUGUAUUUCUAUUCAUACAAUUUUUACUUUACUUUCAUGUGCAAAAAAAUUAUUUACGAAUAUUUCUAUAAAAAUUUAUUUUAUGAGAAAAUAAAAUAUUUUAUUGAUUAUUUUUGAAUAGUAUUAGUUGUUAACAAUUUACUUUCAAAUGAACGUUUUAGAUACUUAUUUUGUUUUUAAAUCAUUAAAUAUAUAUUUUCUGCUUACC